AACGAACGCUAGCGGCAUGCCUAACACAUGCAAGUCGAACGAGACCUUCGGGUCUAGUGGCGCACGGGUGCGUAACGCGUGGGAACCUGCCCUUAGGUUCGGAAUAACUCCCCGAAAGGGGUGCUAAUACCGGAUAAUGUCUUCGGACCAAAGAUUUAUCGCCUUUGGAUGGGCCCGCGUUGGAUUAGCUAGUUGGUAGGGUAAAAGCCUACCAAGGCGACGAUCCAUAGCUGGUCUGAGAGGAUGAUCAGCCACACUGGGACUGAGACACGGCCCAGACUCCUACGGGAGGCAGCAGUGGGGAAUAUUGGACAAUGGGCGAAAGCCUGAUACAGCAAUGCCGCGUGAGUGAUGAAGGCCUUAGGGUUGUAAAGCUCUUUUACCCGGGAUGAUAAUGACAGUACCGGGAGAAUAAGCUCCGGCUAACUCCGUG
rnacentral:rRNA from 1 species